rnacentral:tRNA from 1 species
GGGGCCGUGGUCUAGCAUGGCUAUGAUACGCGGCUCGGGCCCGCGUGGUCCUGGGUUCCAAUCCCAGCGGCCCCA